AGGAGAUACGCAAAUGACGCAGUCAUUGCUAUAGUGCGUAUCGACGAUAUGCCGCCGAGCGAAAGCGAGGGGGCGAUACCGAU
rnacentral:sRNA from 1 species